AGAGUUUGAUCCUGGCUCAGGAUGAACGCUAGCUACAGGCUUAACACAUGCAAGUCGAGGGGAAACGACAUCGAAAGCUUGCUUUUGAUGGGCGUCGACCGGCGCACGGGUGAGUAACGCGUAUCCAACCUGCCCAUCACUUGGGGAUAACCUUGCGAAAGUAGACUAAUACCCAAUGAUAUCUCUAGAAGACAUCUGAAAGAGAUUAAAGAUUUAUCGGUGAUGGAUGGGGAUGCGUCUGAUUAGCGUUGUUGGGCGGGGUAACGGCCACCAAGGCUACGAUCGAGUAGGGGUUCUGAGCGGAAGGUCCCCCANAUUGGAACUGAGACACGGUCCAAACUCCUAACGGGAGCA
rnacentral:rRNA from 1 species